UCAGGAGGCAGAGACAGGUGCAUCUCGGUGAAUUUGAGGCCAGCCUGGUCUACAGAGAGAGUUCCAGGACAGCCAGGGCUGUUACACAGAGAAAACCUGUCUCAAAAAAACAAAAACAAAAACAAAAGUUGACUUUAGCAGACACAAUAAAACAAAAGACACUCCCAGCAUGGAGCUGCCUGUGAAGGCUGUUACUUGCCAACAACAGGAACCAAUUCUGGAGGCCAGAGAGCAGACCCAGCGGGUUCGGCCUGACCUGGGUGUGUCCACCAGGCCAUCUCUGCUGCCAAGUGCACGGUCACCUCUCAGUACUUCUAGAGUUGUCACCAACCGGCCUCCUCCACGCUGCCUUCCACACAGCUGACAGCAGGAGCUGACUCCAGGCACUCAGGUGGUGCUAAGUGCUGAGUUUUACGGCCUGAUUGGUACUUCCAUCAUGGAGUCAGUUGUGCUAAGGUCUGGGGCUCUGUUACACUAAUCACCUCCCUUUUGAUGAAAUUACAUCAGUCGUUACCCCAAACAGCAAAAUAAAGAGCAACUGCUUGACUUCA